GUAGGGAAUAUUGGUCAAUGGACGAAAGUCUGAACCAGCCAUUCCGCGUGCAGGAAGAAGAUUCUAUGGAUUGUAAACUGCUUUUAGCAGAGAAGAAACGCCUUCAUUGAUGAGGGUUUGACGGUAUCUGCGGAAUAAGCACCGGCUAACUCCGUGCCAGCAGCCGCGGUAAUACGGGGGUGCAAGCGUUAUCCGGAAUCACUGGGUUUAAAGGGUGCGUAGGCGGGAAAUUAAGUCAGUGGUGAAAGUCUGUUGCUUAACGAUAGAAUUGCCGUUGAGACUGAUGUGCUUGAAUUGGGUUGAGGUUAGCGGAAUGUGACAUGUAGCGGUGAAAUGCAUAGAUAUGUCAUGGAACACCAAUUGUGAAGGCAGCUAGCUGGGCCUUGAUUGACGCUGAGGCACGAAAGCGUGGGUAGCGAACAGGAUUAGAUACCCUUGUAGUCC
rnacentral:rRNA from 1 species